GACGAACGCUGGCGGCGUGCCUAAUACAUGCAAGUCGAACGCUUCUUUCCUCCCGAGUGCUUGCGCUCAAUUGGAAAGAGGAGUGGCGGACGGGUGAGUAACACGCGGGUAACCUACCCAUCAGAGGGGGAUAACACUUGGAAACAGGUGCUAAUACCGCAUAACAGUUUAUGCCGCAUGGCAUAAGAGUGAAAGGCGCUUUCGGGUGUCGCUGAUGGAUGGACCCGCGGUGCAUUAGCUAGUUGGUGAGGUAACGGCUCACCAAGGCCACGAUGCAUAGCCGACCUGAGGGGGUGAUCGGCCACACUGGGACUGAGACACGGCCCAGACUCCUACGGGAGGCAGCAGUAGGGAAUCUUCGGCAAUGGACGAAAGUCUGACCGAGCAACGCCGCGUGAGUGAAGAAGGUUUUCGGAUCGUAAAACUCUGUUGUUAGAGAAGAACAAGGACGUUAGUAACUGAACGUCCCCUGACGGUAUCUAACCAGAAAGCCACGGCUAACUACGUG
rnacentral:rRNA from 1 species